UGCAGUCGYACGAUGAUGCCCAGCUUGCUGGGCGGAUUAGUGGCGAACGGGUGAGUAACACGUGAGUAACCUGCCCCUGACUCUGGGAUAAGCGUUGGAAACGACGUCUAAUACUGGAUAUGAUCACCGGCCGCAUGGUCUGGUGGUGGAAAGAUUUUUUGGUUGGGGAUGGACUCGCGGCCUAUCAGCUUGUUGGUGAGGUAAUGGCUCACCAAGGCGACGACGGGUAGCCGGCCUGAGAGGGUGACCGGCCACACUGGGACUGAGACACGGCCCAGACUCCUACGGGAGGCAGCAGUGGGGAAUAUUGCACAAUGGGCGAAAGCCUGAUGCAGCAACGCCGCGUGAGGGAUGACGGCCUUCGGGUUGUAAACCUCUUUUAGUAGGGAAGAAGCGAAAGUGACGGUACCUGCAGAAAAAGCACCGGCUAACUACGUGCCAGCAGCCGCGGUAAUACGUAGGGUGCAAGCGUUGUCCGGAAUUAUUGGGCGUAAAGAGCUCGUAGGCGGUUUGUCGCGUCUGCUGUGAAAUCCCGAGGCUCAACCUCGGGCUUGCAGUGUGUACGGGCAGACUAGAGUGCGGUACGGGAGAUUGAAUUCCUGUGUAGCGAUGGAAUGCGCAGAUAUCAG
rnacentral:rRNA from 1 species